rnacentral:lncRNA from 1 species
CCAUGUCUUGCAGACACACGAAUGCUAUGGACCAUGGACAGGAACCACAAGGACCACCAGGAGACAGCACUCAGGAUCCUUUUGGGACAGCAUAGGGAAUCAGGACCAAUGCCACGACAAAGACAGGACCAGGAUCAGCUUGCAGUGUAUCGAAGCGUGCACGAACCUGGGAAGACGUCUGAUGUUAACUACUGGUGAGCUAAAGCAGGCAGCUUGAAGGAGACGAGGGAUGAGACAAACAUCCUAAAAGUUCAUGUUAUGGCUGGUGCAUGGAAAGAACAUCUGUAUACAGGGGAUGUCAACUACAGAAGCCAACCAGGCACCGCAUCGAUCCCAGAAGGACAGAUCUGCUUGGAUGUACAGCACAGGUAUCGCCAAUCCCCAUUUGGGGAAUCACACGUUCAGCAAUUCCAAUGCCAGGUGUUUUCAGAUUUCCGACUGAGUUUGCCUGGUAAGAUCCCCUAAGCAUCUAUUUCUGUUCUCCUUCAACUACUAGAAUUGACACUCUUUGCCAUAUGUACCUGUGCUCCCAGCUUAGAGUCACAGGCCUUCUAGAAAGCAACAUAUGCUAUAUCAGACAGGAAAAUGAGCCAACCCUGGCCCCAUCCACCCCUAGCUGCCCAGUGCAGCACCAAGGGUGGACCCAUUAGGGUCUGUCUACACUCCAGUGUAAGCCCAAAGUUGGUAGGACAUGAGUCAGCUGACCCAUGUUAGAGAAUCCUGGGCUUGAAUGUCUACACUGGUUUUUAACCCUAUGUUCAGACUUUUCGAACCCAGGCUCGAACCUGUGGCUCUGGCAUCCAGACUGCAGCAUGCAGCCUUGAAUCAAAACCACCAUAUUGAGGAGUCCCUA